CAAACCAAGGUACUACUGUGCAAGAUUCCAGGUGCAUACCCGGGAUUCUUGUUUCCUUUUGAAAAUGAGGCACAACAGAGACUGUGGUGUCAUUAUGGCAUAUGGUUUAUUUACACAUAUAGACAACCUGAGCCUAUGAUGGAGGGGCUCCAAGAGGGUCUUGUUUCUCUCAUAGUUGCAGCCUUGGUUUCAAACAGGAAUCAAACAUUGUGCUCCGCUUCUCUGGCUUUCCAGCUUGCAGGGUUUUUUGUUGUCGCAUCCAGCUGCUAGCUCACAUAACCCAUAACCCUCUAAGCCCUAGUUCUUCACAUUGCUCUCUGACUCUCUCUCUCUCUAUAGGUCACAUCACUGAUUCCCUAAACUCUUGCUUUAUCUGUUGAUCCCUUGACCCUUUGUUCUCUUAAUGGCUCCAUCUUCCAGGUGAUUAAUGGCUCCAUCUCCCAGGUGAUUACCAUAACAUAGGAAGGUUGUUGUUUGUUGUUGUUGUUUAGUCAUGUCCAACUCUUCAUGACCCCGUGUACCAGAGCACACCAGGCACUCCUAUCUUCCACUGCCUCCCGCAGUUUGGUCAAACUCAAAUUAGUAGCUUCGAGAACACUGUCCAACCAUCUCAUCCUCUGUCAUCCCCUUCUCCUUGUGCCCUCCAUCUUUCCCAACAUCAGGGUCUUUUCCAGGGAGUCUUCUAUUCUCAUGAAGUGGCCAAAGUAUUGCAGCCUCAGCUUCAGGAACUCUCCUUCCAAAUAGGAAGGUAGCCUGACUUCCGCUUUUACCACAGCUGCAACAGUGUGAGCUCUGACUGCAGUAAGCAGGUCGGGGCGUACACUAGUACUGUGAGGGGCAACGUUUGGCUAAACGACCCCUGAAAAGGCUUGGAAGGAAGCUCAAGUCAAAGGAACUUCGGCAGUGUCUUUUUGGAGUCCCGGCACCCCUCGCCAAAAGAAGGUGGGGGGGAAUCCAGGCACAGAGAAGAACAUCAAACAGACCGGUGAAAAGCCUCACAUCACUGAAGCAGCGACAAGAUGGUAAAAUCUCUAUUUCUAUAUUAAAAUAAAUGUAAAGUGGUAGCAGCAGCAAUAAAACCUAAAAGGAAAUAAGACAAGGGGGGGGAAGGGAACUCAGGGGGGGAAUCCCUCACGGAGCGAGUAAACCCAAAACAAGAUAAAGAGUAAAAGUAGCGGAGAAGUAAUGCUACCACAAAAGUAAAGGGAAGACAGAAGAACAGAAAAAAUAUGGAGAGUGUGUGAAGAAAUCACUCAGAUUGCAAUUAAACUAUUUGAAAGGCACACUAUCUGAAACGGACUUACUACAAAGUGCAAAGCGGUGCAGGCUGCUUGUUGUUGGAGCUGGGUGGAGUAAAGCAGCUGCUUUGAAACUGAAUGUCCUUGAAGGAAAGAUAAGGACAAAGGAAUAAGGGAUGCUGUGGGGGAAAGGAGGGGAAUUUAACAGAUAAGAUAAGAUGGUGUCGAGGAUCUGAAGACGCUGAGUAAUCAUCAAGAAGGAGGAAGAAGGAGGAAGUGACGAAGACAAAAUAGUGAAAGAGAGGAUUAAAGGAGGGCAGAAGCUGGCAAGCUGAGUAAAUAAGAACACAGUGACACCCAGUGGACAAAGUAGGAAAAGCAGUAAUAAAGGAAAAUUGAAACAAUAGAAGGACAUCUGGUGGUUGAAAAAGAGAACGCAAAAUGUCUCAUGCAAUUAAAAAACAAACGACUGGAACUGGAAGUCAACAGCAACAAUUAAGAAGAAACUCAGGCCUUGAAGAAAUGAUUUGAGGGAGCUUAUUAUUAGUUUGAAAUUGGACGUGGGAGGAUUGAGAAGAGAGUUGGAAGAAAAAAUCAAUACAAUUGAUGGGAAAUUAG
rnacentral:lncRNA from 1 species